GCCGGGCGUGGUGGCGGGUGCCUGUAAUCCCAGCUACCUGGGAGGCUGAGGCAGAAGAAUCGCUUGAGUCCGGGAGGCGGAGGUUGCAGUGAGCAGAGAUUGUACCACUGCACUCCAGCCUGGGUGACAAAGCAAGACUCUGUCUCGG
rnacentral:SRP_RNA from 2 species